UACGUAGGGUGCGAGCGUUGUCCGGAAUUACUGGGCGUAAAGAGCUCGUAGGUGGCUUGUCGCGUUGUCCGUGAAAACUCACAACUCAAUUGUGGGCGUGCGGGCGAUACGGGCAGACUGGAGUACUGCAGGGGGAGACUGGAAUUCCUGGUGUAGCGGUGGAAUGCGCAGAUAUCAGGAGGAACACCGGUGGCGAAGGCGGGUCUCUGGGCAGUGAACUACGUGAGGAGCGAAAGCAUGGGGGAGCGAACAGGA
rnacentral:rRNA from 1 species